AUGGUUGCAGAUGAAAAACUGCCAGCUUCUGGAGAUGCUAACAACUCAGAGCAGCAGCUUCAUGAUACUGACACAAAAUCACGUGUGGAGGAUAUGUGGAAGAAAAUGAACAGCGGUUUGCCUGCGAAGAUGCCCAAACCUGCAAUGAUUAAACUCAAAACAGUAGCAAAAGAAAAGAAAACUAAGGCGACAAAUAAUUGGAUGACCAUUCUUGGCCUUCCACCAAAAAAGGCUUCUGCAAAUGAUCAAGUCCCACCAAAUGAGCAACAACAGACACAACACAAAACAAGUGAGGAUACCAAAAAACUUGCGGCAAAUGCUCUUGCAGCUGUUAGAGAUGCCGCCACUGCUGCAUCUGGAAGAGGGAAAGUGGAGAUAACCGAGGUAAGGGACUUUGCUGGCAAGGAUAUUGAGAUCAAGAAACUUGUAGAUGCGGAUUCAAAGGAAGCGGUUGAGAAGGCCAGUGCAGCGGGUGCCUCGCCGUCCGCUGUGGACAACAUCCUGGAGCAGAUAAGGAAGAAGCAGAAGCUGAGCGUCCUGGACAAGACGAAGAAAGACUGGGGAGAGUACAAGGCAGAGAAGGGCGUGGAGGAGGAGCUGGGGGCGUACAAGAAGAGCUCGAACCAGUACCUUGAUAGGCAGUCCUUCUUGAAGAGAGCCGAUUACAGGGAGUACGAGCUCGAGCGAGACGCGCGGUUGUCGUUGAUGGCGAAGCGGAAGAGCGAGAGUAUGCAGGACGAUGAUGUCUAG
rnacentral:rRNA from 1 species